rnacentral:tRNA from 1 species
GUGGGUGUAGCUCAGUUGGUAGAGCAUCAGAUUGUGGCUCUGGGGGCCGAGGGUUCGAAUCCCUCCACUCACCCCA